UACGUAUGGUGCAAGCGUUAUCCGGAUUUACUGGGUGUAAAGGGAGCGUAGGCGGCGCGUUAAGUCUGAUGUGAAAACCCGAGGCUCAACCACGGGAGUGCAUUGGAAACUGGCGGGCUGGAGUGCCGGAGAGGUAAGCGGAAUUCCUAGUGUAGCGGGGAAAUGCGUAGAUAUUAGGAGGAACACCAGUGGCGAAGGCGGCUUACUGGACGGCAACUGACGCUGAGGCUCGAAAGCGUGGGGAGCAAACAGG
rnacentral:rRNA from 1 species